AUUGAACGCUGGCGGCGUGCCUAAUACAUGCAAGUCGAACGCAGUGGGGACGGGUGAGUAACACGUGGGUAACCUCCCAUCAGAGGGGAUAACACUUGGCAACAGGUGCUAAACCGAUACUGAUGGAUGGACCCGCGGUGCAUUAGCUAGUUGGUGAGGUAACGGCUCACCAAGGCCACGAUGCAUAGCUGGCCUGAGAGGAUGAUCAGCCACACGGGGACUGAGACACGGCCCAGACUCCUACGGGAGGCAGCAGUGGGGAAUCUUGGGCAAUGGACGAAAGUCUGAUCGAGCAACGCCGCGUGAGUGAAGAAGGUUUUCGGAUCGUAAAACUCUGUUGUUAGAGAAGCGUUAUCUAACCAGAAAGCCACGGCUAACUCCGUGCCAGCAGCCGCGGUAAUUC
rnacentral:rRNA from 1 species